rnacentral:rRNA from 1 species
GGGAUCCAUCGGAGAGCUUGCUCGAAGAUGGUGAGAGUGGCGCACGGGUGCGUAACGCGUGAGCAACCUACCUCUAUCAGGGGGAUAGCCUCUCGAAAGAGAGAUUAACACCGCAUAACAUCAACAGUUCGCAUGUUCGGUUGAUUAAAUAUUUAUAGGAUAGAGAUGGGCUCGCGUGACAUUAGCUAGUUGGUAGGGUAACGGCUUACCAAGGCGACGAUGUCUAGGGGCUCUGAGAGGAGAAUCCCCCACACUGGUACUGAGACACGGACCAGACUCCUACGGGAGGCAGCAGUAAGGAAUAUUGGUCAAUGGGCGGAAGCCUGAACCAGCCAUGCCGCGUGCAGGAUGACUGCCCUAUGGGUUGUAAACUGCUUUUGUCCAGGAAUAAACCUAAAUACGUGUAUUUAGCUGAAUGUACUGGAAGAAUAAGGAUCGGCUAACUCCGUGCCAGCAGCCGCGGUAAUACGGAGGAUCCGAGCGUUAUCCGGAUUUAUUGGGUUUAAAGGGUGCGUAGGCGGCCUAUUAAGUCAGGGGUGAAAUACGGUGGCUCAACCAUCGCAGUGCCUUUGAUACUGAUGGGCUUGAAUCCAUUUGAAGUGGGCGGAAUAAGACAAGUAGCGGUGAAAUGCAUAGAUAUGUCUUAGAACUCCGAUUGCGAAGGCAGCUCACUAAGCUGGUAUUGACGCUGAUGCACGAAAGCGUGGGGAUCGAACAGGAUUAGAUACCCUGGUAGUCCACGCCCUAAACGAUGAUAACUCGAUGUUGGCGAUAGACAGCCAGCGUCCCAGCGAAAG